rfam:Camelus ferus unplaced genomic scaffold scaffold1873, whole genome shotgun sequence.
GGAGGGUACAGCUCAGUGGUAGAGUGUGUGCCUAGCAUGCAGGAGGUCCUGGGUUCAAGCCCCAGGACAUCCA